CACGUAGUUGGCCGGUCCUUCUUCUGCACAUACCGUCACUUGCGCUUCGUCUGUGCUGAAAGAGGUUUACAACCCGAAGGCCGUCAUCCCUCACGCGGCGUCGCUGCAUCAGGCUUGCGCCCAUUGUGCAAUAUUCCCCACUGCUGCCUCCCGUAGGAGUCUGGGCCGUAUCUCAGUCCCAGUGUGGCCGGUCACCCUCUCAGGCCGGCUACCCGUCGUCGCCUUGGUAGGCCAUCACCCCACCAACAAGCUGAUAGGCCGCGGGCCCAUCCCACACCGCAAAAGCUUUCCCUACCAGGCCAUGCGACCAGCAGGGUAUAUUCGGUAUUAGACCCAGUUUCCCAGGCUUAUCCCAAAGUGCAGGGCAGAUCACCCACGUGUUACUCACCCGUUCGCCACUCGAGUACCCCCGAAAGGGCCUUUCCGUUCGACUUGCAUGUGUUAAGCACGCCGCCAGCGUUCGUCCUGAGCCAGGAGUCAAACUCU
rnacentral:rRNA from 1 species